rnacentral:rRNA from 1 species
CGUGUAGGCGGCCAGGUAGGUCGGUUGUGAAAAUUGGAGGCUCAACCUCCAGACGUCGAUCGAAACCAUCUGGCUAGAGUCCGGAAGAGGAGAAUGGAAUUCCUGGUGUAGCGGUGAAAUGCGCAGAUAUCAGGAAGAACACCGAUGGCGAAGGCAGUUCUCUGGGACGGUACUGACGCUGAGACGCGAAAGCGUGGGGAGCGAACA